rnacentral:rRNA from 1 species
UACGAAGGGUGCGAGCGUUGUUCGGAAUUACUGGGCGUAAAGGGUUUGUAGGCUGGAAUAUAAGUCAAGUGUGAAAUCCCCGAGCUAAACUUGGGACGUGCAUUUGAAACUGUGUUUCUUGAGUAUCGUAGAGGGUGGUGGAAUUGUAGGUGUAGGAGUGACAUCCGUAGAGAUCUGCAGGAACAUCAGAGGCGAAGGCGACCACCUGGCCGAUUACUGACGCUGAGGAACGGAAAAGCGAUGGGGGAGCAAACAGGGAAUUAA